CUACCUGUUCUUCAUAUUGGAUGUAGCCAGUUUCCUCAGACUUCCACUGUGUGUUCGUGUACUUUCCCCAUAACAUACAGCCACAUGUGUAGUGACGUGACUCCGCCCCGUCCAGUCUGCGGCAUCAAAGCAACAUGGAGGAGAAUGCAAACAGAGUCAACUGAGCAACAGCAGCUUGUACCAAAGAAACACGCAGUGUCCGUCGUUUGGACAAAUUUUGGCUUCAAUAAAGACGACAACGAACAAACUCACAUUAAAUGCAACCACUGCAGAAAAACUGUUUCAGCGACCAAAGGUAAAACCACCAAUCUGUUUCAACACUUGGAGCACAAUCACGUUACCGAAUAUGAACAGUGCAUGGCUCAAAAAAGAAAAGAGACUGACAGGCGCCCAGCAACAAGUGCCUCUAUAAAGCAGGUGUCGAUAACGCAAACAUUGACAAAUGCUACAAAAUAUGAAAAGGAUUUAAGAAGAUGGAAAGAAAUAACUGACGCCAUUUGUUACCACAUUGAAGGAUAUGGCUCCCAUAGCUACAGUGGAGCACAGUGGGUUUAAACAACUCAUUAAAACACAUGACAGAAGACACACUGUUCCACCGUGAUCAUAUUUUUCCCAAACUGCGUUGCCCAACAUGUACCAAACAACUAGCUGCUGAACUGAAGUCUGUUAAGCAACAGGUGCCUUGAGACAGUAUAUUUUCCAGUCCAUCACAAGUGAGAGAUGAUCGCGCAGGGCCUGAGAGAUACUCUUUCUGCGUGGGAACUAACAGAAGAGAACCUCGUGGCCAUUAUGAAAGACAACUGCGCUAAUGUUGUCAAAGCUGCACAGCUGAACGGAUGGACAUGGCAGCAAUGUUUUGGACACAGGCUGCACCUGCAAUCGAAAAUGCAGUCAAAGAUCAAUGUGUGGUGCGGGCAAUGAUGGUGUGCAAAGACAUUGUCGGUGCCUUUUCCUAUAGUUGGAAAAAGCAGAAGGCAUUAGUUAAGGUGCAACAAGAGCUGAACCUGCCUCAACACAAGCUGAAAACCGAUGGGGAUCAACGCAAAUGAUGACUGCAAGCGUCCUUGAGAAAAAGAAAUAUAUUUCACAGGUACUCGCUGAUUAUAAAAAAUCAAGGCAUCUUAUUCCAUCUUGGGCUGACCUGGAUGUCUUGGGGGCUGUCAACAGAGCUCUUUCCCCAUUGAUGGAGUUCACAGAUGCCUGGUCAGGAGAGGAGUAUGUGACCAUUUCAUUCGACCCCAUUACAGAAGAGCUACUGGACACCGCCAAUUUUGUUGAUCCAAGAUUUACACAGAAACAUACAUUUCUGCACACCAUGUCCCCUCCAUUCAGGAGAAAGUGAAAACGGAGAUGGUGUCAGCAGCUGCAGUCCGCAGGGAAAGUACCACUGAGAGAACACAGUCCUCUAGGUCUUCAUCAGAAACAAAGAAGCCAAAGAGGUCAUUAGGACGUUUUUUCAAAGGAAGUGAGGCACCUCCUUCAACUGUACCCACUUUAUCACUUCAGCAAACACUAGAAGCAGAGCUUAGCAGCUAGUUGGUGUCCUCCGUGCUGGAUAAUGAGGAAAAUCCACUGGAAUGGUGGGGAAAGCAUCAUGUACACUUCCCUACUCGAAGUAAGGUGGCGAAAAUUUAUCUCUGCAUACCAGCCCCUAACUCCCCAUCAGAGCGAGUUUUCAGGAGGAAACAUUGUUACAUGCCUCAGAUCUUCCCUGAAACCUGCAAAGGUAAACAUGCUAGUGUUUCUUAGUAAGAACCUGGAGUAAAUACUUAUUUUUAUAUGGCAAUAUUUAACAUUUGUUUACAAGAGAUACAAGUUAUUUUCUACUUUUAAGAUGCAUUUAAGAAGUAUUUACAAUAAUUUAUUUUGUCUGCAUAAAAGCUAUUUUUUAAAGUUAUUUAUUUUCUACAUUUUUAGGAAACUUUCUUUCAAGCAAUGUUUGCUUUGAUUUCAAUUGUUCGAAAUAUGCAAUAAAUAAGCAUUAAUAGCUAACUGUGUUUCCUUAUUUUAAAAUCACAAAAGAUAAAAGAUGGGAUUAUGCAUUUUUUCAUUGGAAAAAAUAACCGUGAGCAUAUUUACAGUAUACGCCUUGCCAGUGACAUAUGAGGGCAAAAACACAACUAAUAAACAAAAAAAAAAAUCAUCAUUUUUUGU